rfam:Lupinus angustifolius cultivar Tanjil contig_53608, whole genome shotgun sequence.
AAAAAGGUCCUUUUAAGGACCACAACUCGUAUCCCGAGAGGAUAACU